UACGAAGGGGGCUAGCGUUGUUCGGAAUUACUGGGCGUAAAGGGCGCGUAGGCUGUGCUGUAAGUCAGGCGUGAAAGCCCCGGGCUCAACCUGGGAAUUGCGCUUGAUACUGCGGCGCUGGAAGGUGGGAGAGGAUGGCGGAAUUCCCAGUGUAGAGGUGAAAUUCGUAGAUAUUGGGAAGAACACCGGUGGCGAAGGCGGCCAUCUGGCCCACAAUUGACGCUGAGGCGCGGAAAAGCGUGGGGAGCAAACAGGG
rnacentral:rRNA from 1 species